rnacentral:rRNA from 1 species
UCCGGUUGAUCCUGCCGGACCCGACUGCUAUCAGAGUGGGACUAAGCCAUGCGAGUCGACAUAGCAAUAUGUGGCAUACGGCUCAGUAACACGUAGUCAACAUGCCCAGGGGACGUGGAUAACCUCGGGAAACUGAGGAUAAACCGCGAUAAGUCACUGCUUCUGGAAUGGGCAAUGACUUAAAUCUAUAUGGCCCCUGGAUUGGACUGCGGCCGAUCAGGCUGUUGGUGAGGUAAUGGCCCACCAAACCUGUAACCGGUACGGGCUCUGAGAGGAGGAGCCCGGAGAUGGGCACUGAGACAAGGGCCCAGGCCCUAUGGGGCGCAGCAGGCGCGAAACCUCUGCAAUAGGCGAAAGCCUGACAGGGUUACUCUGAGUGAUUUCCGUUAAGGAGAUCUUUUGGCACCUCUAAAAAUGGUGCAGAAUAAGGGGUGGGCAAGUCUGGUGUCAGCCGCCGCGGUAAUACCAGCACCCCGAGUGGUCGGGACGUUUAUUGGGCCUAAAGCAUCCGUAGCCGGUUCUGCAAGUCUUCCGUUAAAUCCACCUGCUUAACAGAUGGGCUGCGGAAGAUACUAUAGAGCUAGGAGGCGGGAGAGGCAAGCGGUACUCGAUGGGUAGGGGUAAAAUCCGUUGAUCCAUUGAAGACCACCAGUGGCGAAGGCGGCUUGCCAGAACGCGCUCGACGGUGAGGGAUGAAAGCUGGGGGAGCAAACCGGAUUAGAUACCCGGGUAGUCCCAGCUGUAAACGAUGCAGACUCGGUGAUGAAUUGGCUUUAUGCCAAUUCAGUGCCGCAGGGAAGCCGUUAAGUUUGCCGCCUGGGGAGUACGGUCGCAAGACUGAAACUUAAAGGAAUUGGCGGGGGAGCACCACAAGGGGUGAAGCCUGCGGUUCAAUUGGAGGCAACGCCGGAAAUCUUACCGGGGGCGACAGCAGAAUGAAGGUCAAGCUGAAGACUUUACCAGACAAGCUGAGAGGAGGUGCAUGGCCGUCGCCAGCUCGUGCCGUGAGGUGUCCUGUUAAGUCAGGUAACGAGCGAGACCCCUGCCUCUAGUUGCUACCAUUAUUCUCAGGAGUAGUGGAGCUAAUUAGAGGGACUGCCGUCGCUGAGACGGAGGAAGGAGGGGGCUACGGCAGGUCAGUAUGCCCCGAAACCCUCGGGCCACACGCGGGCUGCAAUGGUAAGGACAAUGAGUAUCGAUUCCGAAAGGAGGAGGCAAUCUCUAAACCUUACCACAGUUAUGAUUGAGGGCUGAAACUCGCCCUCAUGAAUAUGGAAUCCCUAGUAACCGCGUGUCACUAUCGCGCGGUGAAUACGUCCCUGCUCCUUGCACACACCGCCCGUCGCUUCAUCGAAGUUGGUUCUUGGCGAGGUGAUGCCUAAUUGGUACUAUCGAACCUGGGGUCAGCAACGAGGGAG